rnacentral:sRNA from 1 species
UUUGACAUUUGUUUGGUUACCAAAUCCGUGUGUUGACGACUACAAAUAGUUUAUGUUGCCAUUUAGCCAAGAUUUUUUGUAUGGCUAUGUGGUGGCGAAUUCAUGUCUAAGACCAUCUCCAUUCCACAUUUUAUGAGAAGGGUGAAAGUAAGAGCAAGACGGCUACUUUAGGUAAUGUUUUGAGUGAACUUUGCUUUGUAUUAUUUCACUUGGUCUUUAAGUUACAACAUUAGUUCCCUUUAUAGCUAGACAAUACUAGGGUUUCAAUGAUUGUAAACUGACAGCUGUCUCUGUCUUAUCAAGCUUCGCAGGUCACCAAACAACCAAAUCUGUUCUUUGUGUUGAUUGGCUCCGUACAGACGUUCUUCUUCUUCGUCUUCACUCUGUUUUUGUUUUCUUGCACAGGUGGUGGUCUUGUCUGUUGAGAAGAGGAAGAAGACUUGUUGGGCUUCACUGUUGUGUUGGUUGUGUUGUCAUUGGGCCUGUUUGGUGAGUGGCCCAAUAACCCUUUUCCUUUGUUAAGCUGAGCGACGUCGUUCUCUUUCUUUGACUCUUCAGCUGAACUUGAGCUCUGAUUCGAUCUCAUUUCAGAUCUUGGAGCUGUUGAUGGCGGAGCAGUGGAGCUCUUGCUAAUAUCCCCCCGCAAACCCGGUGUAGGUGGCUCAACUACACCGAGUUUGUACCUGAGUGAAGUAAACGCAUUGAACGGAAGCAAUUUGGUGAAGAUGUCUGCGGUCUGCUCAUGUCCAGGUAUGUGUCUCACUUCCAGCAAUCCAAGAGCCACUCUUUCUCUGACGUAGUGAUAGUGGUUCUCAAAGUGUUUGGUCCUUUUGUGGAACGCCGGAUUUACUGUUAGGUAGACUGCGGAGAGAUUGUCACAAUAGAGGGUUGGAGCUUUGAGAAGAGGAACUCGCAGCUCCUUCAUAAUUGAGCUGAGCCAGGUGAUUUCAGAGGCUGCUUCAGAUAGCGUUCUGUAUUCGGCUUCAGUUGAGCUCUUCGAUACAGAGUUCUGCUUGUGAGACGACCAAGAGAUGAUGUUGAGUCCCAAAUACGUGCAGUAACCACCAGUUGAACGUCUUGUUUCAGGACAACCAGACCAAUCACUAUCACUCUAAGCUCGUAGUGUACAAUCUGACUGCUUUCGAAAGUUUAUUCCCAUAGUCAUUGUACCUUUAACAUACCUCAAUAUU